CAGCACCCGCUCCGCCCCGCGGCGAGUCCCGAGGUCAACUGCCCUUCCCGGCCAGGGCUCGGGACCUUCGUCUCCGCUGUCAUGGGGGACAGAGCAGAGGAUCUGAAUGGAUGGCGCCUCUUUGAGGGGCCUCUCUGGUGACCGAAUCCAACUUUCCCUGAGCUUCUGAGUUUUUGAGGCAACUGUUGACAGACUGCGUUUUCCCAGCCAGAAGAGCCAACAUUUCUAGGGAUUUCUUCGCAGCUUUGUUGUUAAAAUACCGCCUAACACUUUGUGAGCCCCACCAUGUGCCUAUCUUGGUUAGCAAUUAAUCUACAGUGGUCAAAGAGAAUGCAGGAAGGCUGCAUCCUGGAACACACGUGCCUGCAAUAGGUCAGAGCAGCUGUUGGCACUCUCUGGGCGGGGAAACUGACAGACAGCAGCUCUUUACUCUGCCCCCUGCAGUCGUUCUGCAGCGGUGAGAACACCGAGGCGUUAAAACAGGCUGGGCCCUGCCCCUGCCUCUUCUUUCACCUUCCCUGAUCCAGCCGGCCUCCACCUGCCGACCUUCACCUGCCCGGGCCCAUAUUACCCCUUAACCAUGUCUUUUCCUUGGCGCUCGGCAUAUUUCUUUUUCAGCUGUGACUCCGUUCCAUUCAUGCUCUAGACUUACACCUGAAACCGUUUCUCAGAACCUUCCAGUGGAAGCUGACUUUUGCUCUUGGAUGCAAAAAGUGGCCAUUUAAACAAACAAAAGCCUGUUCAGCCAGAGGGGUUCCAAGAUUUGGAAAAGUCCAGAUUCUUCUGGAAGAAAUUGUAGCCGUGCCCAUUCUCAUCAGCAAUGGUAUGGGGUUGUUGAGUUUCUUCACAAGAUUACUGACUCAUGCAUUUUGCUAAUCAGUAGCAACAGGAGCCAAACUUGGAUUCAUCCUGAUAAAGUAGACAUUUGGGACUUCGUGUGAUCUAAUUCCUCUGAGCUGUUCCUUAAUCCCCAUUUGCUAAACCUUUGCAUCGCUGCCCACAAUGGCAUAAACUACCUUGAUACAGGAUUGCAAAAUGGUCCACCCAACAAAGGAGCCUCAUAAUUGCUGAUGUGGCUGAGAUUCUCUAGUGCACCCUUCCUUGUUUUUAUUUGUUGUUCUAAGAAUUAUUUAAGUAAAAGAACAAAGCAAAUCUUAAA